GAAAAAUUCUGUGCGCCAGAACGGCUCAGCUUCGAGGGGAAUUCUAUCCGACGGAGGUGACAACGAGACGCCUUCAGUCCGUAUUGGAACCGGCAGCAAUUAGUGGGUGAGAUGCAGCUGGUGGCGCUGUGUGCGGUGCUGGCGGCAGCUGCAGUGCCGGGAGGCCUGGCCGAUGUGGACCUGUUUUGCGACUGCCGAGUGAACCACCACCAGGACUGGAAGUAUUCUCUCCACUGCACCAGGGAGCAGGGUGGUAGCGCUGGGGUUUCUUGCGAGAAAGGUGAG